UUUUUUUUAUAAUUUUACAGAAUUUAUGUUUGAAUAGUACUCGCAAUGGGGAAUGAUGUGUUGUGAAUAACUUCGGGUGAAGUGGAAGGACAUGAAAUCGAUGAGAAGGCAAACCAUCCGAGAGACGACCAGUGUAUCAAUCGAUCGACUGAAAAAGUAUGGCCAUAUGUAGAGGUGAUGGGGUAGCCAAGACUAAGGUGUUAUGACCAUAAGAAAUCCCACACUCCACUCUAUUCUUUUAGUGACAUGGAUCUAGCAUCAAGGUUUUGGUAUGACUUGGGGUUUAUCUCUAAUAAUUAUAUUGAUGAAUUUGUUAUAUUUUAUUUUUAAUUGGUUCGGU
rnacentral:lncRNA from 1 species